GCCCGAGUGGCGAAAUGGCAGACGCAGCAGACUCAAAAUCUGCCGGGGCGCAGGCCCCGUGUCGGUUCGAAUCCGACCUCGGGCACCA
rnacentral:tRNA from 1 species